rnacentral:rRNA from 1 species
AGAAAACUUUCAACGGUGGAUAUCUAGGUUCCCGUGACGAUGAAGAACGCAGCGAAAUGCGAUACGCAAUGCGAAUUGCAGAACCGCGAGUCAUCAGAUCUUUGAACGCAAGUGGUGGAGGUGUAAAAACCUUCAUGUUUGUUUCAGUGUGGAA